CCUACGGGUGGCAGCAGUGAGGAAUAUUGGUCAAUGGUCGAGAGCCUGAACCAGCCAAGUCGCGUGAGGGAAGACGGCCCUACGGGUUGUAACCCUCUUUUGUCGGGGAGCAAAGCGAACCACGUGUGGUUCCUUGCGCGUACCCUAAGUACAAGCAUCGGCUCACUCCGUUCCAGCAGCCGCGGUAAUACGGAGGAUUCGCGCGUUAUCCGGAUUUAGUGGGUUUAAAGGGUGCGCAGGCGGAGGGGCAAGUCAGCGGUCAAAUUGCGGGGCUCAACCCCGUACUGCCGUUGAAACUGCAUCCCUUGAGUGCGCGAGAGGUAUGCGGAAUGCGUGGUGUAGCGGUGAAAUGCAUAGAUAUCACGCAGAACUCCGAUUGCGAAGGCAGCAUACCGGAGCGCAACUGACGCUCAUGCACGAAAGCGUGGGUAUCGAACAGGAUUAGAUACCCUAGUAGUC
rnacentral:rRNA from 1 species